rnacentral:tRNA from 1 species
GGGCAUAUAGCUCAGCAGCACAGUGCCUGCCUGGCAAGCAUGAGUCAUGAGUUCAAUUCCCAUUACCA